CAGACGCGCGUGACCUCCAAGGCGCAGGCGGGCAGGUCCAGCAGCAUGGCCCCGGUGACGCCGCUCUCUGCGGGGACAAGCACGCGGUUUCUACUAGCACAUUCCUGGUUUUGGUGGGCUCCAUGAAGCAGUGCUACAAACACUCAAGCUUGUCUGCCUGAAGGUAGGACCGUCGAAGAAUUGCUAAGUCCACAGCAAAGCAGUCAUGACCUGGAGCCUGUUCUUUCCACCUCAUUGCUUGAUCCCUGUAUUUACAUGUUAACUAGCUGAUGUUCCUGUGACUGAACUCUUGCAAAGCUGUUUUUGUUACUGGGAAUCAUGACAACAAAAGGCAGAGGAUAUUUGCAAUCAGUACCUGAUUUGGGGAGCAGUGCUGUGGGGUGUACAGGGUGAAUUGGGCACCCUAAAACCAAAGCUUCCCUGUUACUCCCGUGUAUUAACUUUCAAGACGAGGCACAGCACAGAGCCCUGUGCUCAUUAGCCCUGCCAAAGUCUCUAGCUCACGUUCAGCAGGGCAGAAUGGCUGGGAACCACAUGCAUAAUCCAUCUCUGCAACUCACCUGCCUUCUUAUAUUCUUUUGGUCACUCAAAGAGGUCAAAAAAAUGUAAUGCAGUUGAUAUUUAGAUGACUUGUCAAAGCAACAUCUUCAUGUUCUUCUGUUUACCAAGAACUGCUACUUAUGUGAUUUAGAUUACAAUAAGCUUACUUUCUUUGUCCUGGAGACAGAUUUAAACAUGCUCAACUUCUUUGUUCUGCAAUCACAACACACACUUAUUGUACCUUCUGUGAGUCUUUUUGUGUUUCCAGCUCUUAGUUCCUCAAAUGUCAAAUAACCAAAACAUCCUGCAUGAAUUACAGGACUGGAACACAAGAAGAACGUUUCCUAGCACGAAACUAAACUGAAUUUCAGUUUCAAUUCCCCACAGUGCUUAACCACACUAUGUAUUUUUGCAAUGCCACAUCUUAGUAUGCUGGAGAUGUGGCAACCUAAUAUUAACAUAAUUCUUAUAUCUAAAGUGCUAGCAGAUUUAUUGUAUUCUCCCUGGUGCUGUUAACCUUUCUUCCUCUGACUUUCUGAAAUACUCUAUUGUAGUAAACAUGAAGCUCUGAACCCACUUUAGGCGGUGUUAAGGUGGCGAUCUUUUCAGUUAAAGAAUUAGUGAGAAUCUGUUUGGCUGGGAAAAAAGUGUCUCACUAGAUAGCAUGUAGUUUUCAAGACUGGUGCUAUAAUCCUACUUCUCAUUUUACACCCCCUGUGAUGCUUUCCCCUCACUGGCAUUUUUAUCUGCAAAAUUAUGUUUAAGAAAAAAGAAAUUUGAAGAAGCACAAAAAUGGUAAAGGUCUUAUAGGAACAUUACAGGAAAUGCAGAAAGAAGACAUCAUGUAAUGAAUUACCAGAGAAAACAGAGCAACUCAGGUUAAAAUAUUUUUGUUUAUUAUAAAAUACAUAUUUACAUGUGAAGGCACUUUAAACCGUUACAAGCAUUUCAUAUAAGCCAUUGUUUUAGCUGUUUAACAAGUCCAAUAAUAUUUUUCUAUCAUCACCUAAACAGGUGAAAAAAUCUAAACUGUAUCCAGUUGCAGUAUAUUCAUUUUUCUAAUGAAAAAACAGUAUAGUUAAUGACAACUAAUAAGGAUUUGAGCACCAUCAGUUCUCUACAGUUUCAGAAAAUACUGUAACAGUGUGAUGAGCAUAUUCGUGAGGAAGAGAGAGAUGCACAUGGUGUUAAAUUACAACCAAAUCAAGUACAUUCUUACCUUAUAAUACUGCUGAAAGACGUACGCUAUUAAGCCUUACAUCUACCAUCCAGAAAGACUGCAAUCAUCCAUGCAAAUAAAGCAGACUCCAUGGAAGGCUAAAUCAAGAUUCCUCAUUACCCCCUAAUAAUGCAGGAGGCUUUUAGGGACAGGAUUAUAAUUUGAAUGGAUAUAGUCGUAACAGCACCAAUGAGCAGAUAAAGACAGACAGGUUGUUUUUCUUCUACACUUUGUCUCAAGAUCUGAAGACAAAUAUUCAAAUAAAGGAAUCUACAUUAAAGAAUCUACAUUAAACCUAGUCGACUGUGUGUCCUCAUACUGCAGCUCUGUACAGGCACAUCUUUCAGAAAUAAGCACCUUUUUCUGAAAGUCAAAAAUCAAGUAUUUAAGUAGUUAACAACUCAAAAAUGAAUUACAAUUUGUAAACUUGCUAUUCCUUGCUGAGUAGGGUCCCUGCACAUGUACACUUUUAAAUACAUUUUCCCUCCAUCUUUGCUGUCCAGAUUCACUAGCUGAGACUGAGAUCACACUAGUAUUCUUCCCUGGAACCGUGGCACAGCAGAUCUUGCAGCACAUACUAAAACCAAACAAUGAAGUAAACAGAGCUCUACAUACAAGUCCUAUGUAUUUUUUUUUCUCCAGUACAAUGUACACAAAACAAGUUGAAAAAUGCAGUGCUGAGAAAUUUCUAUGUCUCUAACCCUAAAUGCAAUUAUGAAAUAAGAUCAAAAUACUGAUUUACAGUAAUGAAAAAAAAAAUGACUUUUUCCAUUUUAGCAAAAUAGAUCCUAUCAAAUACUUCAGCGUUAACAGGUUACUUAAAAGAAAUAGAUCCUGGAAUUUACACAUUUCCAAUGAAACCGAGCCUUUAAUAGCUAUAAAAACAUAUAUACAAAUAUGCCUUAUCUGAUGGGCUUACAUUCAGUGUAGAUACUACACAACAAGAGACUAAGAUCUUCAGGAAAAAAUAAAAUGAAGAGAUACAAUUUGUUAAAUGAAUUUACACAUUUCAACAGCUGUAAGGCUGGCCAAAGCCCAAGCUGUUUUUCAUCUGUAACCACCUUGUACUUCUUCACAGUUAAGCUACAAUUCACAUGAACAGCUUCUACAGCAGGGUUGCAAAUCAAGCUUCUGAUCUGAAAGGAGUAGCUUCCAUGGCAGCAUUUACUGGCUCGGAAUAAAGUUAGUUCGGACUUACUCAGAAAGUUAUCUCAGUGCUUUUUCAGAUUUCAGUGUCCAACUUAAGCCACUGCUGCUUCUACUUUUUGAUUAUUGCCUAUGUUAUUGCAGAAGCUCUCUGAUCCAGGUUGUAACAUACAUAUUUGGUGAAGUUCUGAUGGGAGAUAGAGCACAGGACAUCAAGUCAUACAGUUCAAAACUAUUCAGCUCUUACUGAGGCUGAAUUAUCAAUCUGUUCUCCACUCCAGUUAUUUCACUGUAAUGCAUAAAAUUCCACAUUCUUUUAAAAAUAAGGCACUUAUAAAGCUUCUUCCCCAAGUACCAAAAGCUUGAGACCCUUAACCGACUUCACUCAUUUCCUUACUGUUUUUAUUCCAAAAGUAACGCCCCUGUUCCUAGAAGCUGAGUUACACUCAGAAAUCAAAUACUCUAUAUUAGGUUCAAGAACAUCCAACAUGGCUUUCUACAGAUCACUCAUUUGCUAAAUCAGCUUGAAGAGAGUAUCUUCCAGCAUAGCAGGUUCUUUAGGAAUAAAGAUCAUCACCACUUUCAUUCUCUGGCAUUUACUACUUAUCCCUUGCUUUUUGCAUCCUGCAAAAGUCAGGUAAAAGUUCAAUGUUAAACUUCACAGUUGUCUGUAUAUACCACGUUGGAAAUGCAAGAAAUAAAUAGCACGACAGC